AGUGAACGCUGGCGGUAGGCCUAAUACAUGCAAGUCGAACGGCAGCACAGUAAGAGCUUGCUCUUACGGGUGGCGAGUGGCGGACGGGUGAGGAAUACAUCGGAAUCUACUUUUUCGUGGGGGAUAACGUAGGGACACUUACGCUAAUACCGCAUACGACCUACGGGUGAAAGCAGGGGAUCUUCGGACCUUGCGCGAUUGAAUGAGCCGAUGUCGGAUUAGCUAGUUGGCGGGGUAAAGGCCCACCAAGGCGACGAUCCGUAGCUGGUCUGAGAGGAUGAUCAGCCACACUGGAACUGAGACACGGUCCAGACUCCAACGGGAGGCAGCAGUGGGGAAUAUUGGACAAUGGGCGCAAGCCUGAUCCAGCCAUACCGCGUGGGUGAAGAAGGCCUUCGGGUUGUAAAGCCCUUUUGUUGGGAAAGAAAAGCAGCAGGUUAAUACCCCGCUGUUCUGACGGUACCCAAAGAAUAAGCACCGGCUAACUUCGUG
rnacentral:rRNA from 1 species